UUGUUUGGUGCUGAUACAACAUUGACUUUUCCCAUAAUUUAGCUUAGAGUGUUUUACACUGGGGAGUUCCAAUGUGUUUAAAUUGUAAAACUUUUUCCGAGCAUUUUUGUAGCAGAACUCCAUGUUCUAAUAGCCCCGGCAAAGUUGUUUUUAAUACUUUUUCUCUACGAAUUUUCAUUAAAAUUUAAUUCCAUUUUAACUUUGUCAAUUUUCCCCAAAGAUAAAUUAAGACACACAGAGAGAUUGUCAUUUCCUGUUUGAAGUCUCAUUCCUGUGUACAAUGUCAGUCUUUUUUAUUUAGGCCUAUGCCAUUCCAUCAGGGUAAAUAACUUUCUAACUAGUCAUUUAAGAGCAACUCCCGGGAAACUGUGAUGCAAUCCCACAUAUCAGCCAGACUUCAAAAGCUGCCAGAUUAUUGUGAAAGGAGAAACACUGUUUUCGAAGGCUGCUGAUAAUGCCUAUUAGCCAGAAGAAAGAGCCUGAAUCAUUCAAAGGUUUUCCAUCUAGUAAAGAAGUGUGGUAAAAAUCUUGCCCAGAUCUGCAUGUGCUAAGCAUCUACGUAAGUUGGAGCAUCAUAUUAAUGACACCCAGUGAAGAAACGAAAGAAUGAAGUGUAAUUACUAUAUCAAAAAUCCACAGAAUGUGAAAGUAUAAAGGAAAACUCUCAGCUGCUCAGCUAAAAACUUUGGAGUUAGACAUAUGGACAGCCCACCCCAAGGGAAGAAUCAGAGGAGAAGGGACACAAGACCCCAGAAACACACAAAGCACCUUAAUAUGCAUGCUGCAUCUCUCUAAAAUUGUGGAACCUGUUUACCUGCUCUGGAGAAUGGCUGCCUGUGGCAGACAUAGGAGUUGUCCUCAUGCUGUGCUUCCUAUCUUCCACAGUAAUUGACUUGUAGCUGCAAUACAGUUACCAACCAGGAAUACAAUUUCUCAGCCCCAUGUCUUGCACCUACAGCUAAGUGUGGCCAUGUGACCAGUUUUCACCAAUUAAGUGUGAAUAGCAACAAAGUGCACCACCUUCAAUUGGAGGCUUUGAAGAAGCAGGGCAGCCUUCCCUUGCUCUCUUUCCCCUUGUUCUGGUGGGAUACAGAUGACAAUAAGGCCCUGGGUUUUGAGGUAGCCACAAGAUGCAAAAUACCUCAGACCUGAGUCACCACAAGGAAGAGAGAAGCCCACUGACAUGGAAUACCCAGCCUAGUCUACAGAUGAAUAAGAAAUAAACUUCUAUUAUGUUCGAACAUUACAGAUUUUGUUCUGUUAUAGCAGUUUAUCUCACCCUGACUAAACUGUUGCCUAUCUUCCAAGAUAGGCCCUCCUUCCCUGAAAGUGACUUUUUCAUACAUGUAAUCUGUAUUUUAAUUCAUAUUCUCCAAAGCAUAUCCACAUCUAUUCAACUAUUUUCAUGUCUUCCAUCAAU
rnacentral:lncRNA from 1 species